UUUAAAAAUUAUAGUAUCUCAAUAGCAAACAAGCCAAUAAAUUCAUUUAGAUUUUCCUCACAUGCGCCUAACUCGUGCCGUACUGGCCCCCAUUUGCAUCUCUAAUGACGUUCAUAGCGUUUCUUAUUCUUCUUGUGAACAAAUUGAUCAAAUUAGGGCUAAUAAAUUUUGAAUAGACCAUGUGCAAAGAAAAUAAAUUCAAACCUCAUUUUUUAGCUGAAAAGUUUGUGUGCCCCUGUAUGUAUUUUUCAGGAAAAUAAAGAUAAAUUACGGACCAAUUAUAAUAAAAAGGUUAUUAUUUGUCUUCUUGGCGACCAUCUCACCGAAACCCUAAAGAGACUACUCACCUAAUGAGUAGAGAAUAGAGAUAUUACUAAUUGAUUAAGACAUCGAGGUCUGAAGUAUUAAUUUCAUUCUAAUUAAUUCUACAAAACGGCAGUAGUAGUUAAUUUUCAUAAUAAUGGAUCAAGACUUGUCGUGUCAAAAACAUAUAAGCACGACACUAAUGCGGUGCUUUACCCAAUCAGCACUGAAUGCUUAAUGUGUAAUUAUUGGCAAAGCAUAUAUAUUAAUAAAUCACAUUAAAUACUUUUAGCCUCCUCUCGAAAAUGAUUUACUCGAUACUGUCUUUUUCUUGUUUGUUUUAGUUAACUUAAAUCAAACUAAUGUCAUCUCAUCACCUUUUUAGUUGAAGUAGAUUCCGAUCCAAUCUAAAGAUCUUUUGUAUAUCAGCACAAGACAUUCAUUACUGUAGUUGAACACAGCUAUGAUCCAAAUUGAACAAUCUUUAUUCAAACGUUGUAAAUAUAACUAGUCCGGUUGGGGUUUAAUUUUUGGAAUAGAAGUAAGAGGUCACAGUUCAAGUUCGGGAGAUUCCCAUUAAUAGAGAUAAUUUGUCAUAAUUAUAUAUUAAGACAGUAAUGAUUGGAACACAAACUAUCGUUAUUGCUAUUAAAACUCACUGAGUGGAAAACAAUUUUUUUUCAUAUGAUAUCUCUUAUUUAAUUAUUUUCUACCACUAAUAGCAUAAUGAUUUUUU
rnacentral:lncRNA from 1 species